rnacentral:rRNA from 1 species
UGUGUAGGCGGUUCUUUAAGUUUGGUGUGAAAUCUCCCGGCUUAACCGGGAGGGUGCGCCGAAUACUGAGGAACUAGAGUGCGGGAGAGGAAAGUGGAAUUCCUGGUGUAGCGGUGAAAUGCGUAGAUAUCAGGAGGAACACCGGUGGUGUAGACGGCUUUCUGGACCGUAACUGACGCUGAAACACGAAAGCGUGGGUAGCAAACAGGAUUAGAUACCCUGGUAGUCCACGCCCUAAACGAUGCAUAUUUGGUGUGGGUCAUUCAGUUGAUCCGUGCCGGAGCUAACGCGUUAAAUAUACCGCCUGGGGAGUACAGUCGCAAGGCUGAA